rnacentral:rRNA from 1 species
UCCCAGACUCCUACGGGAGGCAGCAGUGAGGAAUAUUGGUCAAUGAGCGCGAGCCUGAACCAGCCAAGUAGCGUGAAGGAUGACUGCCCUACGGGUUGUAAACUUCUUUUAUAAAGGAAUAAAGUGAGGCACGUGUGCCUUUUUGUAUGUAUUUUAUGAAUAAGGAUCGGCUAACUCCGUGCCAGCAGCCGCGGUAAUACGGAGGAUCCGAGCGUUAUCCGGAUUUAUUGGGUUUAAAGGGAGCGUAGAUGGGUUGUUAAGUCAGUUGUGAAAGUUUGCGGCUCAACCGUAAAAUUGCAAUUGAUACUGGCAGCCUUGAGUACAGUUGAGGUAGGCGGAAUUCGUGGUGUAGCGGUGAAAUGCAUAGAUAUCACGCAGAACUCCGAUUGCGAAGGCAGCUUACUAAACUAUAACUGACACUGGAGCACGAAAGCGUGGGGAUCAAACAGGAUUAGAUACCCCGGUA